AAUGGGCGAAAGCCUGACGCAGCGACGCCGCGUGGGGGAUGAAGCUUCUCGGAGUGUAAACCCCUUUCGACCCGGACGAAUGUCCCGCAAGGGAUUGACGGUACGGGUAUAAGAAGCCCCGGCUAACUACGUGCCAGCAGCCGCGGUAAGACGUAGGGGGCCAGCGUUGCUCGGAAUUACUGGGCGUAAAGGGUUCGUAGGCGGUGUGGCAAGUCGGAAGUGAAAUCUCCAGGCUUAACUUGGAGGCUGCUCCCGAAACUGCCAUGCUUGAGUGCGGGAGAGGCGAGUGGAAUUGCAGGUGUAGCGGUGAAAUGCGUAGAUAUCUGCAGGAACACCCGUGGCGAAGGCGGCUCGCUGGACCGCAACUGACGCUGAGGAACGAAAGCUAGGGGAGCAAACAGGAUUAGAUACCCUGGUAGUCCUAGCCCUAAACGAUCAGGACUUGGGGUGCAUCCCGUUGGGGGUGCGUCCCGUAGCUAACGCGUUAAGUCCUGCGCCUGGGGAGUACGGU
rnacentral:rRNA from 1 species